CUGGUACUUCCCUCCGUCCCAAAAUUCUUGUCUUAGAUUUGUUUAGAUAUGAAUGUAUCUAGUCAACUUUUAGUAUUUAGAUACAUCCAUUUUUAAACAAAGCUAAGACAAGAAUUUUUGGACGGAGGGAGUACUAA
rnacentral:pre_miRNA from 1 species